rnacentral:tRNA from 2 species
AGUGUCGUCCGCUAAUUGGUGAAGCGUCUUGUCUUUCAAACAAGAGAAUGCGAGUUCAAGCCUCGUCGGCACUACCA